UACGGAGGAUGCAAGCGUUAUCCGGAAUGAUUGGGCGUAAAGCGUCCGCAGGUGGCUGUGUAAGUCUGCUGUCAAAGAGCAAAGCUCAACUUUGUAAAGGCAGUGGAAACUACACGGCUAGAGUGCGUUCGGGGCAGAGGGAAUUCCUGGUGUAGCGGUGAAAUGCGUAGAGAUCGGCAGGAACACCCAGGGGGAAACCAGUCGACUGGGCAUCUACUGACGCUGAGGUGCGAGAGCGUGGGGAGCGAACCGG
rnacentral:rRNA from 1 species